ensembl:lncRNA
GAGGGCGGUGACAGCUAUUCCAGCCUGCCUAACCCGACUGUUGAUCGUCAGACACUUAACAAAUCAAAAUAAUAUUUGCAAUGUAUUGAAAAGAUUGACUACAAAAAUAUUGACUACUAAAAGGCAGACUGCGUUGGAUAAUCCAGAAUGUUGGAUAAGCGAAUGUUGGAUAAGUGAGACUCUACUGUAUAUACUGCUCUUCUCCCCCAGGGGGAUUUUACCUGAAUUUUUCAUACCAAUGAUGUUUAAUUUUGUUUUAAUGUUUGUAUAUUUGUAGAUUUUGAAUUGUACAGAAAUGUUUUUAAUGGCAGCUACUUUUAGUCUCCUGGUGGGGAAAAAAGGUGGGGUAUAAAUAAACAUAAUAAUAAUAAUUUAAAUGUUCUUGCAGUUUCUAGUGAUAGUUCAUGGCAUGUUCUGGCAUUUGUACAUAGAAGCUGCUUAUUUGAAAGUUUGGGCCAUCAUGUUACGAUGGUCAUGAUAGUACAAUCUUCUGUUUCCCAGACAUACUCAUUUAAUCAUAGACUGACAUUUCAUUACUGUUAUCAGCCCUUCAUGUCAUGGGACUCUAAGAACUUUCUAUGAUCUCGCCCACAGAGGCUGAAAAAUUAAGAACAGAGAUGGUAGACUAAAUUAAUUCUUAUGUAAUUCCACUGGGCAAGAAUAUGUGAUCUUUCUUUGGGUUGUUGAAAGAAUGGCAUGUAUUUCAAGCAGAGAAGUGCUUAAAGACAUUUCUGAUGAUUGAAAUGAAAGAGGGCUACAGAUCUGAAAAAUGAAUCUAAAGAAAAUAUUUUACCUUGAACUAAAGACUUGAAAUCAAAUGUUGAAAAAUGAAUGUGAAGAGAAUGUUGUACCUUGGACUAAAGACUUGAAAUCAAAUGAUGUGAAGUGGUGUCAGCUGAAGUUGUCAACUGAAGACAAAGAAAUGGGAGGUUAAUAAACUGCAUCAAGAAGUGUAAGAUAAGAUUAGAUUUGAUGCUUUGGCCUUGACUUUAUAGAGGAAAACAGAAGAAUACAAGAGAUUUACUUGCAACUGAAGUAAAGCCUUUACGGAAACAUUCCCUCAGAUAUAUAGAUAGAUAGGCACACAGACACAUUUCUAGAGUGUUCUUCAGUAAUGAUUGCACUUUUAUUUUGCUACAGAAAAUCUUUAAAAUUAGUUGAAAGAAAGUAACAUCUGUUAUUUAAUCCGGGUUGACAUUCUGCGUUUGUCAGACCUCAUCUAGAAUACUGUGUGUAGUUCUGGACACCACAAUUCAAGAUAUUGAUAACCCGAAACGUGUACAAACAAGGAUGACCAAAACGGCAAAAGUUCUGGAAUCCAUGCCCUAUGAGCAAUGGCUUAAAGAGCUGGGUAUGUUUAGAAUGGAUAAGAGAGGUUAAGAGGUAAUAAAUCUGAAUUCUUUUUUAAAAAUCCAACUGGAAAUAGAGUUAUGUUCACUUUUAGUUUCUCUUCUUCCCUUCCUCUUUCUUUCUUUCUUCUUUUCUUUUUUGCCUUCAAGUAGUAUGGUUUGAACCAUUUUAUAACCAGGAACAGAAAAAAUAUUGUUUCCUAAAAUGCCAGCAAACCAUCAGUGGGUGGCCUUGCAGUCUGAAAAUCAGCCUAUGUCAGCCCACAGGCAGUGUUUUGUUCAUUUCUGAUCUAGCCAAUAUUGUUUUGAACUAGCUUAAAAUGAUUAUUUGAUUAUAGAGUAGAAAAUAGAUAUACGGUCCGUUGUGUUGCUUUUAAAACUAAAAGGUAAAAUAUAAAUUAACUUAAUAAAAUAAGGAAAUAAGCAGGUCUCGCAACUCUAUUUUCUUAAGAGACUUAUUUUUAAUUAAACCAGAAGGUAUUUUAAAACCCAUUCUGGUAUAGAUGAUGCUAUCUAUAGAUUUCUAGACUUUCGAACACCAUAUGACAGGCAGUCCAAAUGGCCCAGGAAACCUUGCACAUUACUAUGAUACACCGAUACACACAAGAUAACUAAUUGUUUUUAUGGGACUUCAGAAGAAAGUGCCAAUAUAUAUUGGAGGUUUCCUGGGCUCGAUGUUUCAUAUUAUGAACUUGUUUGAUUUCUAAGGAACAAUAGCUUUGCUUAGUUUUGUUCAUAUUGCUGCUCAUGAACUUGUA